rnacentral:rRNA from 1 species
AGAUUAGCCAUGCAUGUCUAAGUAUAAGCAAUUUAUACAGUGAAACUGCGAAUGGCUCAUUAAAUCAGUUAUCGUUUAUUUGAUAGUACCUUACUACUUGGAUAACCGUGGUAAUUCUAGAGCUAAUACAUGCUUAAAAUCCCGACUGUUUGGAAGGGAUGUAUUUAUUAGAUAAAAAAUCAAUGCCUUCGGGCUCUUUGAUGAUUCAUAAUAACUUUUCGAAUCGCAUGGCCUUGUGCUGGCGAUGGUUCAUUCAAAUUUCUGCCCUAUCAACUUUCGAUGGUAGGAUAGUGGCCUACCAUGGUUUCAACGGGUAACGGGGAAUAAGGGUUCGAUUCCGGAGAGGGAGCCUGAGAAACGGCUACCACAUCCAAGGAAGGCAGCAGGCGCGCAAAUUACCCAAUCCCGACACGGGGAGGUAGUGACAAUAAAUAACGAUACAGGGCCCUUUUGGGUCUUGUAAUUGGAAUGAGUACAAUGUAAAUACCUUAACGAGGAACAAUUGGAGGGCAAGUCUGGUGCCAGCAGCCGCGGUAAUUCCAGCUCCAAAAGCGUAUAUUAAAGUUGUUGCAGUUAAAAAGCUCGUAGUUGAACCUUGGGCUUGGCUGGCCGGUCCAUCUUUUUGAUGCGUACUGGACCCAGCCGAGCCUUUCCUUCUGGGUAGCCAUUUAUGGCGAACCAGGACUUUUACUUUGAA